AUGGGCUGCUGGUUGUUUGACAAACAGAUAUCAAUUUUAAUUUAUUCCGCCAACUUGCAACAUAUGUCUGAACAUUUUUAAUAUUCGAUAAGUAUAUGAGUACCUGUUCCCUGUACAAGGCCUAUCUGGAUAAUGCAUAUAUCUACAACAAUCUGCUGGACCAUCAGCAUCUCUGCGUCAUUCGUGACUUUAACCUGUCCUCACUUGCUUGGGCUAGAGAUCCUGAAGCUCAUUCUUUAUUGUCAAGUAAUUUACAUCAACCACAUGAGAUACUUAUUAUCGAUGAUCUAUUUAGUAUGGGCUUAAUACAAGACAGUAAUACUCAACGAGAUUUAGUAUUUUCCAAAUUAUUGACCACAAAUGUUGUAGCAACAGCAGUCAUAAACUUUAGAUCCUAUUUCUUUUAAUAGUCAACAAGAAAGGAACCAAACUUCGGCAAGCCGUAGUUUAUACACUCUUGCAGCUAUUGCAAAAUGUAAAUAUUGUUGAAAACACUUAAAUUUCGUUUUAUAUGCGUAUAAAUGAAAUACAAAACCUGAGUCGCUGAGUGGUUGGGGAAUGCACCGGGCACGAAGCGCUAAGUCAGUUGUCCCACGCUAGUCCCGCUGACCAAGGCGGUAAAGUAAUGCGGCGAGCUACGCAGCGGAUGCAAAGUACAAGGUUAGUACUCUGCCCACAGCGCUGCCGUCAAUUCUACUCGUCGCUGCCGAUUUCGGGACUUAUGCCCGGCUUUCUUGAAGAACAUUUAAAAAAAAUGUAAUAACAAUAAACGGAAGUAGUUCCAAAAAUAAACCUAUAGUUAUCAAAACGGAUUUUUAAUUAAUGUCAAUCAACGAACGGCAUCGAUUCCAAUAAAUUAAGAAAUUCUAACGAAAAA